rnacentral:rRNA from 1 species
AGGGUCUUGGCAUCGGGCGAAGCCUCGACGACGCAACGCCGCGUGGGGGAUGAAGGCUUCGGGUUGAAACCCCUUUCGGCGGGACGAAGGGGCGCUAGCGAUUCUAAGGACCUCUGAACCCCUUCUAACUCCCCCUUGAUACCUCCCUCCCGCCGACAUAAUAAUAA